rnacentral:rRNA from 1 species
UACGUAGGGUGCAGGCGUUAAUCGGAAUUACUGGGCGUAAAGCGUGCGCAGGCGGUUUGCUAAGACAGGUGUGAAAUCCCCGGGCUUAACCUGGGAACUGCGCUUGUAACUAGCAGGCUAGAGUGUGGCAGAGGGGGGUGGAAUUCCAGGUGUAGCAGUGAAAUGCGUAGAUAUCUGGAGGAACACCGGUGGCGAAGGCGGAUCUCUGGGCCAUAACUGACGCUGAGGAGCGAAAGCAUGGGGAGCGAACAGG